CCUACGGGAUGCAGCAGUGAGGAAUAUUGGUCAAUGGACGCAAGUCUGAACCAGCCAUGCCGCGUGCAGGAAGACGGCUCUAUGAGUUGUAAACUGCUUUUGUACGAGGGUAAACGCAGAUACGCGUAUCUGUCUGAAAGUAUCGUACGAAUAAGGAUCGGCUAACUCCGUGCCAGAAGCCGCGGUAAUACGGAGGAUUCAAGCGUUAUCCGGAUUUAUUGCGUUUAAAGGGUGCGUAGGCGGUCGGAUAAGUUAGAGUUGAAAUCCCGAGGCUCAACUUCUGAAUUGCCUCUGAUACUGUUCGGCUAGAGAGUAGUUGCGGUAGGCGGAAUGUAUGGUGUAGCGGUGAAAUGCUUAGAGAUCAUACAGAACACCGAUUGCGAAGGCAGCUUACCAAGCUACUUCUGACGUUGAGGCACGAAAGCGUGGGGAGCAAACAGGAUUAGAUACCCGAGUAGUC
rnacentral:rRNA from 1 species